UACAGAGGUCCCAAGUGUUAUCCGGAAUCACUGGGCGUAAAGCGUCUGUAGGUGGUUUAAUAAGUCAACUGUUAAAUCUUGAGGCUCAACUUCAAAAUCGCAGUCGAAACUAUUAGACUAGAGUAUAGUAGGGGUAAAGGGAAUUUCCAGUGGAGCGGUGAAAUGCGUAGAGAUCCGGAGGAACACCAACGGCGUAGGCAGCGCCCUAGACGAGACCUGACGCUCAGGCACGAAAGCGCGGGGAGCGAACAGG
rnacentral:rRNA from 1 species